rnacentral:rRNA from 1 species
UACGUAGGGGGCAAGCGUUGUCCGGAUUUAUUGGGCGUAAAGAGCGUGUAGGCGGCCACACAGGUCUGCUGUGAAAACUCGAGGCUCAACCUCGAGCUGUCGGUGGAAACCGUGUGGCUAGAGUCCGGAAGAGGAGAGUGGAAUUCCCGGUGUAGCGGUGAGAUGCGCAGAUAUCGGGAAGAACACCCGUGGCGAAGGCGGCUCUCUGGGGACGGUACUGACGCUGAGACGCGAAAGCGUGGGGAGCGAACAGG